GUAGGGGGCAAGCGUUGUCCGUAUUUACUGGGCGUAAAGAGCGUGUAGGCGGCCAAGCAGGUCCGUUGUGAAAACUGGAGGCUUAACCUUCAGACGUCGACGGAAACCGCGCGGCUAGAGUCCGGAAGAGGAGAGUGGAAUUCCUGGUGUAGCGGUGAAAUGCGCAGAUAUCAGGAAGAACACCAAUGGCGAAGGCAGCUCUCUGGGACGGUACUGACGCUGAGACGCGAAAGCGUGGGGAGCGAACAGGAUUAGAUACCCUGGUAGUCCACGCCGUAAACGAUGGGUGCUAGGUGUGGGAGGUGUCGACUCCUUCCGUGCCGUAGCUAACGCAUUAAGCACCCCGCCUGGGGAGUACGGCCGCAAGGGUA
rnacentral:rRNA from 1 species